GGCCUUGGGACUGGCGCUGGAGCCCAGCGUGGGAUGACCGUGCCCCGAAAACAUGCCAGUGAAUGGAAAGAAGCCAAGGUCCCCUCCCUCCCUGCUUAUACCCUCAACUUUGCCAAUGAGGACCCUAAAUACCAGCUGCACUACAGGGGAUGUAACUACAUACACCGUCACCAAAGUUGCAGCCUGGCCAAGAAAUGCCAGGGGACGUCGCGGCGAUUGCAGACUCCGCGGUGACUGUGUAGAUACGUCCAGAAUUCGCCCUUGUAGCGCGGGGAGAGGCGAGAGUGAAGGCCUAGAAAAAAAGAAGAAUAAAUGGGACAUUACACAAGAUCAACUGCAAGAACAAACCAGCAAUCCUGAGAGGAACCACAGACCCUCUGAAAGAAGUGGACUGCUUCUGCAGGACCUGGGAGACACCCCAAAUACUAUGAGGUUUCAUGUGCUGCCCAGGAUGAGCCACUGUGCCCGGCCAAAUGAGCUAUUUAUGAUGAUCAUAAGGACACAAGAUAAGGAAAUCCAAUCAGUUGCUACGUGCUGAUGAUUCUGAUUCUGGCCCUGCAGUAUCGCUUGCAUGCACC